rnacentral:lncRNA from 1 species
UAAGAGUGGGCACUGAUGAGUGAUGAGUAAGAAUAUGUGUGUUAUGUUUACGGAAGUAUGAAAUCAUCACCAAAGUACAAUACUAGAUAGCUACGCAUAACCUAAUUUACACUGUCCACCAAACAUUCCCACACAUAUCUUCUUAAAAAUCUGCAUCCCUAAAAGAUCUACAUUCCUUAUGUCUCUUGUUUGUUCUUCUCCACUGAUGGUACUCGCUUGCUUCUACAAACAGCAUAAUAAGACCAGCAAAAAUAAUUGAUUAAUUAGACAAGAGCUCCCAACUAGUCGCAUCAUAGGAAAACUUAAAAGAAUGUAAGAAUCUAGGUACCUUUUGUCUACUUAUUGAAGAUGGGAGAAAAUUAGUUAUCAAUAUUAUAUGAAUAUAUAUGGUGUUUUUAAUAUAUAAAAUUUCAAGUGGAAUCUC